GGGAGUGCACAGUAUGGGCGUGUCGGGAGAGAUCACAGCCUCAGCUGCUACAAAUCAUAAUGCCGUCCAUCUUGUUUUUUGAGUUCAGGCAUGCCUGUCUAAAUCUGAAGAGGGAAAAAUCUAGAAGAUGCUUUCUUACAAAAAACUGCUAAAAUGAUCUCUACCCAGUAGGAAGCUUGAUCUUCCACAAAGGGAAUGGCUUUACACAGUGCACAUGAGAUUCUCCCUACACCAGAAAUGGAUGCCGAGAUGGGAAGAGGAUUAACAGGAUUCUCUGACAUUUUUCUCAGUUAGAUCAUCUGCAAUUAACUUAGCAACACCAGGUGACUACAGUAGGAUGGGCCAAGAAGCACACACCCGGAGUCUAACAACCAGAAAAUACAAAUAAACUUAAGGACAUCUCACAA
rnacentral:lncRNA from 1 species